rnacentral:rRNA from 1 species
UAGGGAAUAUUGCGCAAUGGGGGGAACCCUGAUCGCAGCGACGCCGCGUGAGCGAUGAAGGCCUUCGGGUCGUAAAGCUCUGUCCUCAGGGAAGAAGAAAGUGACGGUACCUGAGAAGAAAGCCCCGGCUAACUACGUG